rnacentral:rRNA from 1 species
GGUGAUGGCGUACCUUUUGUAGAAUGGACCGGCGAGUGACGAUUUCAUGCAAGGUUAAUCUGAAGAAGAGGAGCCGCAGCGAAAGCGAGUCUGAAUAGGGCGUGCAGUAUGAGGUCGUCGACCCGAAACCAGGUGACCUACCCAUGUGCAGGGUGAAGGUGCGGUGAAACGCACUGGAGCCCGAACCACGUAUGUUGAAAAAUGCGGGGAUGACGUGUGGUAGCGGUGAAAUUCCAAUCGAACCUGGAGAUAGCUGGUUCUCUCCGAAAUAGCUUUAGGCUAGCCUCGGAUGAUGCAUCGUGGAGGUAGAGCGACUGUUUGGACGAGGGCCCUUGCGGGUACCGAAUCCUGAUAAACUCCGAAUGCCACAGAUGUUAAUCCGGGAGUCACACUGCGAGUGAUAAGAUCCGUAGUGGAAAGGGAAACAACCCAGACCGUCGGCUAAGGUCCCCAAAUCCUUGUUAAGUGGAAAAGGAUGUGGGGCUGCUUAGACAACUAGGAUGUUGGCUUAGAAGCAGCCAUCAUUUAAAGAGUGCGUAAUAGCUCACUAGUCGAGUGGCCCUGCGCCGAAAAUUUACCGGGGCUAAACAAGGUACCGAAGCCACGGAUAGAACCUUUGGUUCUAUGGUAGGAGAGCGUUCUAAUCAGCAUAGAAGCCUGACUGUGAAGACAGGUGGAGCGAUUAGAAGUGAGAAUGCCGGUAUGAGUAGCGAAAGACAGGUGAGAAUCCUGUCCACCGAAUGACUAAGGUUUCCUGGGGAAGGCUCGUCCUCCAGGGUUAGUCGGGACUAAGCUGAGGCCGAACGGCAUAGGCGAUGGUCAACAGGUUGAUAUUCCUGUACCAGUUUCUUUUGUUUGACCGAUGGAGGACGUAGCAGGCUAAGAUAUGCCCACUGAUGGAUAUGUGGGCGCAAAUAAUAAGUCUGGCGAUGAGUCAAAUGCUUAUCGCUAAGGACAAGUUAUGACGCGGAGGGAAGUACAGUACCGAAGUAUCUGACGUCACACUGCCAAGAAAAGCUUCUAGGGAGAAAGCAACUGCCCGUACCGCAAACCGACACAGGUAGUCGAGAUGAGAAUUCUAAGGUGAGCGAGCGAACUCUCGUUAAGGAACUCGGCAAAAUGACCCCGUAACUUAGGGAGAAGGGGUGCUAACGCAAGUUAGCCGCAGUGAAUAGGCCAGGCGACUGUUUACCAAAAACACAGGUCUCUGCUAAUUCGAAAGAAGAUGUAUAGGGGCUGACACCUGCCCGGUGCUGGAAGGUUAAGAGGACAAGUUAGCGUAUGCGAAGCUUUGAAUUGAAGCCCCAGUAAACGGCGGCCGUAACUAUAACGGUCCUAAGGUAGCGAAAUUCCUUGUCGGGUAAGUUCCGACCCGCACGAAAGGUGUAACGAUCUGGGCACUGUCUCAACGAGAGACUCGGUGAAAUUAUAGUACCUGUGAAGAUGCAGGUUACCCGCGACAGGACGAAAAGACCCCAUGGAGCUUUACUGUAGCUUGAUAUUGAGUGUCUGUACGGUUUGUACAGGAUAGGUAGGAGCCAUUGAACUCUGGACGCCAGUCUAGAGGAGGCAUUGGUGGGAUACUACCCUCACCGUACGGCCACUCUAACUCGCGCCCCUUAACGGGGUGGAAGACAGUGUCAGGUGGGCAGUUUGACUGGGGCGGUCGCCUCCUAAACAGUAACGGAGGCGCCCAAAGGUUCCCUCAGAAUGGUUGGAAAUCAUUCGUAGAGUGUAAAGGCAGAAGGGAGCUUGACUGCGAGACUUACAAGUCGAGCAGGGACGAAAGUCGGGCUUAGUGAUCCGGUGGUUCCGUAUGGAAGGGCCAUCGCUCAACGGAUAAAAGCUACCCUGGGGAUAACAGGCUUAUCUCCCCCAAGAGUUCACAUCGACGGGGAGGUUUGGCACCUCGAUGUCGGCUCAUCGCAUCCUGGGGCUGGAGUUGGUCCAAGGGUUGGGCUGUUCGCCCAUUAAAGCGGUACGCGAGCUGGGUUCAGAACGUCGUGAGACAGUUCGGUCUCUAUCCGUCGCGGGCGUUGGAAAUUUGAAGAGAGCCAUCCUUAGUACGAGAGGACCGGGAUGGACGCACCGCUGGUGUACCAGUUGUCAUGCCAAUGGCAUAGCUGGGUAGCUAUGUGCGGGAAGGAUAAGCGCUGAAAGCAUCUAAGCGUGAAGCCCCCUUUAAGAUGAGAUUUCCCAUUCCUAUAAGGAAGUAAGACCCCUGAAAGAAGAUCAGGUCGAUAGGCUCGAAGUGGAAGUGUGGUGACAUACGGAGCGGACGAGUACUAAUCGGUCGAGGACUUAACCAAA